GGCCGCGUGGCCUAAUGGCUAAGGCGCUAGAUUUCGGCUCUAGAGAUUCCAGGUAGGCUCUCUUUUAAACGAGCUUCUCCGCAUCCAGGCACUAACAUCUCCAAAAGGUUCGACUCCUGGCGUGGUCG
rnacentral:tRNA from 1 species